rnacentral:rRNA from 1 species
CACGGGGGUUGCGAGCGUUAAUCGGAAUUACUGGGCGUAAAGCGUGCGCAGGUGGUUGUUUAAGACAGAUGUGAAAUCCCCGGGCUUAACCUGGGAACUGCGUUUGUGACUGGACAGCUAGAGUAUGGCAGAGGGGGGUGGAAUUCCACGUGUAGCAAUGAAAUGCGUAGAGAUGUGGAGGAACACCGAUGGCGAAGGCAGCCCCCUGGGCCAAUACUGACACUCAUGCACGAAAGCGUGGGGAGCAAACAGG